AGUGAACGCUGGCGGUAGGCCUAACACAUGCAAGUCGAACGGCAGCACAGUAAGAGCUUGCUCUUACGGGUGGCGAGUGGCGGACGGGUGAGGAAUACAUCGGAAUCUACUUUUUCGUGGGGGAUAACGUAGGGAAACUUACGCUAAUACCUCAUACGAUCUACGGGUGAAAGCAGGGGAUCUUCGGACCUUGCGCGAUUGAAUUAGCCGAUGUCGGAUUAGCUAGUUGGCGGGGUAAAGGCCCACCAAGGCGACGAUCCGUAGCUGGUCUGAGAGGAUGAUCAGCCACACUGGAACUGAGACACGGUCCAGACUCCUACGGGAGGCAGCAGUGGGGAAUAUUGGACAAUGGGCGCAAGCCUGAUCCAGCCAUACCGCGUGGGUGAAGAAGGCCUUCGGGUUGUAAAGCCCUUUUGUUGGGAAAGAAAAGCAGCAGGUUAAUACCCCGCUGUUCUGACGGUACCCAAAGAAUAAGCACCGGCUAACUUCGUG
rnacentral:rRNA from 1 species